GCCAACAUGCUGCAGUGGUUUGAGCAUUGGCCUACAACUCCAGAGACCAGGGUUUGAAUCCCCACUUGGGCA